UACGUAGGGUGCGAGCGUUAAUCGGAAUUACUGGGCGUAAAGCGUGCGCAGGCGGUUUUGUAAGUCAGAUGUGAAAUCCCCGGGCUUAACCUGGGAAUGGCAUUUGGUACUGCAAGGCUGGAGUUUGGCAGAGGAGACUGGAAUUCCUGGUGUAGCAGUGAAAUGCGUAGAUAUCAGGAGGAACACCGAUGGCGAAGGCAGGUCUCUGGGCUGAAACUGACGCUCAGGCACGAAAGCGUGGGGAGCAAACAGG
rnacentral:rRNA from 1 species